AUAAACUGCGGGUCAAAACUGGUCAAAACGCUUUCUAGAUUCUGUUCCUCUAAGAGAUAUAAGAGAAAAUGGACGUUGGCAAUGUUUUAAGUUUCAAACCCUGAAGGCCGUAUCCAGAUUGCAUAGUCUCGAUGCGGAUGCGAUGAGCAAAUUGCAUUCGUGACUCAACUCUACAAGCCAUUCGCUGAGUGUUUGGGUCCGGGGUCCACAAGCUGGCCAUUUUUCGCUGCUCUCAUACGACGUGUCACUAUUAUUGACAGAACGUCAUCAAUGCCACAGGCAAGAAAUUGGUAAAAAAUUGAUAUCAAGUUGAAAAGGCUGAGCAGCAAAUUCAAGACAUUGGAUCUCACCUGUGCCCAGUCUGAGCAGUUCAAUAUGGUUCAACCCCAGACCUCCAGAUAGGUUGUGCCCAAUACGAUGACAUUUGAAGUGUCUUCCCAAUGCUGUUUGCUACCUUACAACCGGUUGUAUGUAUUAUCGAAUUGUUUGAAGGUUUGGUUAUGACUGAGAGGAUGCAGCUUAUGUAUUGAAAGUUCGUCGGUGUCUCUACAUCAACGUGGAUCAUCUUUUAAUUUUGUUGGUUACAUUAUUCGUUUCAAGAAUGGAUGCAUCUGGUGUCAGUUGCCAGUGGCCACUAGCUAAGUCGCAACGCAUCCAAACGUGGCUUUCAUAUCUUAAGGCAUCCCGUCAUUUGUUGUCGAAAUGCUGUUCGAAGAAAUCAAGCAGGUACAAUAGCCGCAAGGCUCAGCCAUUUGGUAUUCAUUUUGAUAAUGGUUGUUGUAGACCCAUCCUCAGCCACGUCAACCUGAAGAAGGAAAGGUCAGUUUGCAUUUUCUUCACACUCGAAGGUCGCGGAUAUCAUAACGUAAAACGUGUCAUGCGACGGGGUAGAGGUUGGGUGAGAGAGCAGAAAGGUACGUGUUUCACCAUUAUCAAGCAGGUACAAUGUCCGCAAGGCUCAGCCAUUUGGUAUUGAAUUUGAUUUUUGUAGACCCAUCCCCAGCCACGUCAACCUGAAGAAGGAAAAGGCCAGUUUUUUGGCAUUUUCUUCACACUCGAAGGUCGCGGAGAUCAUAACGUAAUACGUAUCAUGCAAUGGCGGAGAGGUUGGGUGAGAAAGUUUCUUAAAAGGUGAUAAAAGGCGAAAUAAUUAGUCGAGUGAUUAUCUCUGACUUGACGACAGCUGCCGUGCACUAUUUGUCCCCAACUGCAUUCUUCAUUUUAUGAAGGGUGUUUAGUAAACUGUGGCGUCGUGCUGAGGCUUUAGAAUACUAGACUGCAACUUAUGCUGCCCCGAGCUGCUUAACCAAAGAGCCUGAACCCAUCCACGGCAACGUCAACUUGCAGAAGGAAGAGGUCAGUUUGCAUUUCCUUCACUUUCGAAGGUCACGGAGAUCAUUGUAAAACUGUCAAUGCGGUGGUGUAGAGUUUGGGUGAGAACGGGAAGUGUUUGCUUUGCUUUAUUAUCAAGCAAGUAUAAUAGCCGCAGGCCUUAAGAGAGGGGUCAGGGUGAGAAAAAGUCGUAUAAAUGGCAAGAGAAAAAACCACGGAACUCAGUCGAGUGAGCAUCUCCGACACGGCAACAACUGCAGCGCCAUAUGUGUCACCAACUACCUUCUUCGUCGCAUUGCCAGUUCGCAAUCAUGGUUUAGUUAACUAUGGCGCAGUGCUGAUGUUUGGUGUUGUAUCGUUAAUGAUUAAGGCACUACACUGACGUCCUGAAGUAUUACUCUGCCCCGAGUUACUACACCACCAAGGGCCAAGGCGACGGAGCAUGACUACGCAUGCUGCCCCAUCCUACUACACCGAGGCCCCCAACUGCUAUACCAAGGCUCCCGCUGAUUACUCCACCAAAACGGUCGAAUACUACAUCGAAGCGGUUAAGUAAUACUCUGCCCCGAUUUACACAACCAAAACUGAGGCGGCCAAGUAUUACGCUGUCCCGACGUACUACAGAGAAGCUGCUCUUUCGUGCUACGUUGAACAGAAAUACUACACUUAUGCUCCAGUUCACUACACCACGACCUACGCUAAACCGCAGCCCCCAGGUACUACACCGAAGAAGCCGCCUAUUAUACAACAACGUAUGCUGCCUAGUUUAUUACACCGAGAAUCCCAAGUACUACAUCACUAAGGCACCGGAAUUCUACACGUCUAUGUAUGCUGCCCUUGCCUACUACACCGAGGCCCCAAGUAUUACUGUGCGUAAAAGGAGUCGUCUAAAAAAAAAAGUCAUCCCCGAACUGCAGUGCCCUAUCUGUCAUCAACUGCAUUCCUCAUCGUGUAACCGAUUCGCAAUUCUGGUUAACUAUGGCGUCGUGCUCCUGUUGGGUGUUGUAUCGUUGAUGGCUGGAUCGAACGCAGGUGUAGUGAUGUCUUCUUGAUAUGGCGGAUAUCAAACCGCAACGCCGCCGCCUUCCUACACAACUUACGCAACGAUCAGUUCCUGCACCGAGGUCUUCAAGUACUACGCCAAUAAAGCACCGGAGUUUUAUACCACAACUUAUGCUGUCCCGAGCCACUACACUGACACCCCGAAGUAUUACUCUGCCCCGAGUUACUACACCACCAAGGCGACCGAGUACUACAUGACAAGGCAUGCUGCCCCAUCCUACUACACCGAGGCUCCCAACUACACCGAGGCUCCUGCUGAUAACUACACCAUAACGGUCAAAUACUACACCGAAGCGGCAUAGUACUUCUCUGCCCCGAGCUACUCAACCAGAACUGAGGCGGCUGGCGGCCAAGUAUUACGCAGUCCCGACUUACAACCCAGAAGCUGCUCUUUCGUGCUACGUUGAAUAGAAAUACUACACUGAUGCUCCAGUCUUCUACACCACGACCUACGCUAUGUGUCACCAACUACCUUCUUCAUCGCAUUAUCAGUUCGCAAUCAUGGUUUAGUUAACAAUGGCGCAGUGUUGCUGUUUGGUGUUGAAUCGUUAAUGGUUGGGUCGACCACGGGUGUACAGAUGUCUCCUGGACAUGGUAGAUACCAAGCAACGGCAGCGAAGGAAUAAUAAACCACGCCGUCGCCUUACUACGAAACGAAGUCCACACAAGCAACAUCUACUUACUACGCCGAGCCCUUCAAGUGCUACACCACUAAGGCUCUAGAGUUACGCGACAAAUUAUGCUGCCCCGAGUUACAUCACCAAAGCGCCUUAGUACUACACCACCGAGUACACUGUCCCAGCCUGCUACACCGAGGUUUCAGCUUAUUUCAAUGCCGAAGCGGUCGAGUACUACACCGAACCGCACAAGUACUACUCUGCACCGAAGUACACAACCAUAACUGAGGCGGCCAAGAACUACGUAGCCCAGACUUGCAACACAGCAGCUGCUCCUUCGUACUGCGUUGAACUGCAAUAAUACACCGAGGCUUCAGUUUACAACAGCAUAACCCACGCUACACCUAGAUACGAAGACCCCAACUACUAUACCCAAGAGGUCACACCACGUACACUGCCCCAUUUUACUACACUGAGGAACCCAAGUAUUACUUUGCUCCAAGCUACUACAAAACUGAGGCUCCUGUUUAAUACACGAAGUCACCGAGUAUUACAGCCAAAUGUAAGGUGUCGUGCUGCUGUUGGUUGUUGUAUCCUUGGUGGUUGGGUCAAUCACUAGUGUACCGAUGUCUCUUGGUGGUGGAUACCGAACCACAACGCCGCCGUCUUACUGCACGACAAAAACGUAUGCAACAACCGGAGUACUACACCACUGAGGCACAGUCGGAGUACUACACCACUGAGGCACAGUCGGAGUACUACACCGUCCCCAGCUACUACGCCACCAAGGGAAAAUGCUACACCGAAGUGCCCAAGCGCUACUCUGCCACGAAUUACUACACAGCGGCUGCUCCUUCGUACUACGUUGGACCGAAAUACUACACUGAGGUUCCAGUUUACUACACUACAACGUUUACUACACUACAACCCAUGUUGCCCUCAGCUACCAUACCGAGGCUCUGCUCCCAUACCGAUGCUCCCAAGUACUACAAUACCUAGGCACCCGAGUAUUAUAUCACUACUUAGGCAGUUCCGACCUAAUGCACCGAAGCUGGGAAGUAUUCCACUGCUCCGAGUUACUACACCAUCAAGGCACCCCUGGAUAUUACAUCUAAACCUACGGUUCUCCAGUUCAGUACAGGGAGGCUCUUAAAUACUAGAGUCGAAAUUUCUGAUUUUAUUUAUUCGUGUACAGAUUUGUCGGUUAUUAACUAACAGUUACUAGUCACUGGGAAGUGUUGUUGAUCUUAAAUGAGAAAAUAAAUGUUUUAAUGGUAA
rnacentral:lncRNA from 1 species